UGACAGGAUAAACCGACAGUUUCGUUGC
rnacentral:sRNA from 1 species